UGGGGGAGAUCCAGGGGAAGCAGGUUGUCCCCCGUGAGGCUCCCAGUCUUCAGCCCCAUUUGACGCUGCCUCCCGAUUAAUACUGAUGGCGUCCUGGGCUAUUUUCAUCUACUCUGCAUACCCUGGAUCUCCAAAGAAUAAAUCCUUCAAUAAUAGCUUCGGCUGCUGCAGAGGAAGAGCAUCUGAUAGACACACUGAUAUACGUGCACAGACAUCCUUGGUGUUUGAAGCAGAGCCCACCGCUGUUGUUUACCUAUCCGUGACACCGAAAAGACCAAAGUCCCAACCACACCAGGGAGGGAGUGCUUGCUAAAACUGACAGUUACCUGCCGGCGCAAAGAAGGGAAAAGAGCCAUCAGCCAACCCUUUGACAAGAACCUUACCUGAAGAGAGAGAGUGAGAGAGAGACAGAGCAGGCCACCCAACUCAUGGAAGAGAAGGUGAAUGCCUACUGAUUUCCAGAAAAAAGACAGUGAAAAUUCUGGCUGUGGGAGGUAAGUGCAGGGAUGGGAGAUGUUUGAUGAUUUGGCUGGAAAUUAUCUGGUCAGGCGGAUGAAUAGGGUCAAAACAAGAUGAACCUGCAACCUAAGAGUUUUAGCAAGGGGAACCUUCCUGACUGAAAGAUCCACUAGGUUGUAAAACUGCUUGAGGGCAGAGAUCAUGCCUACUUACUCUAUUGUACUCUUCCAAGUCUUAGUACAGUGCUCUGCAUCAAGUACUCAGUAAAUGGCACCGAUUAAUUGACUUGAUCAACUGAGGGGUGAGCUAAACACCCAUUUCUUGUGAGAGCUGGGAGCAUAAACAACUGUUAGAGACUGAAUAAAGACAAGAAGCUUUUCCUGUUGAGUUAAUCCAUUCAUUCACUCAGUAGUAUUUUGGAGUCUGUUCUGUUUAGGGCACCCAGAUGGAGAGUUGGGCAAGAAGACCUCAGAGGAUGAAUUAGGCACAGGCCGUAGUCCACAGAGGGACUUGUGAUCUAAAAAUAAGGAGGAAAAGCAACAGACUCACAAGAAAGGAUUGAAAUAACGGAAGAAGACAACGACGACAUUAAAAACACUAAGUUCUAACGUA